GUGAUAUAGCCUAGUGGUUAGGGUGUUGGGCUGCAAUGCAGACGACUAGUGUUCAAGUCCCUGGUCACA